AAAAGGGGGAGAGAAAAAGUAGAAAAGGGGGAGGGAACAUACCUGGCGUGGAGCACGGUGGAGCUUGCUGGUGGCGCCCGUCGGCGGACCUCCGACGAGGUGGUGGUGGCCGUAGGGGGUGAAGGAGGUGGCGAAAGUCGUUGAAGCCGGUGGCGUUGAGGUCGCCGUGCUCAGGCGACCUCGCAGCUUGACAUGCAGAGGCGGGGAGCGGUGGGAGGUUGCUGAUCGGAGACUCGCCGGAGGCUUCGCCGGAG
rnacentral:misc_RNA from 1 species